rnacentral:rRNA from 2 species
ACGGAAGGCAGCAGUGGGGAAUAUUGGGCAAUGGACGAAAGUCUGACCCAGCGACGCCGCGUGAGGGAAGAAGGUCUUCGGAUUGUAAACCUCUUUCAGCAGGGAAGAAGAAAGUGACGGUACCUGCAGAAGAAGUCACGGCUAACUACGUGCCAGCAGCCGCGGUAAUACGUAGGUGGCGAGCGUUAUCCGGAAUUACUGGGUGUAAAGGGUGUGUAGGCGGGGAAGCAAGUCAGAUGUGAAAAUUAUGGGCUCAACUCAUAACCUGCAUUUGAAACUGUUUUUCUUGAGAGUGGGAGAGGUAAACGGAAUUCCUGGUGUAGUAGUGAAAUGCGUAGAUAUCAGGAGGAACACCGGUGGCGAAGGCGGUUUACUGGACCACAACUGACGCUGAGACACGAAAGCGUGGGGAGCAAACAGGAUUAGAUACCCUGGUA